UACGUAGGUGGCAAGCGUUGUCCGGAAUUACUGGGUGUAAAGCGCGUGUAGGCGGGAGGCCAAGUCUGCUGUGAAAUCGCCCGGCUCAACUGGGCGGGGUCGGUGGAAACUGGUCACCUGGAGGACGGUAGAGGCGAGUGGAAUUCCCGGUGUAGUGGUGAAAUGCGUAGAGAUCGGGAGGAACACCAGUGGCGAAGGCGGCUCGCUGGGCCGGCCCUGACGCUGAGACGCGAAGGCGUGGGGAGCAAACGGG
rnacentral:rRNA from 1 species